CAGAAAUGCCACAAUGUUGAAAGGAAUGCAUUACAGUUCCCACAAACACACACCCCUCCCUGCAACCACUACAAGAUAUGCAAGCAACUCUGAGCUGACUUGGAUCUAAUUCUUCCCAAUUCAUGCCACAAGCCCAACUCAUCAGCUGAUACCUGAGGAUGAUCCACUGCUCACUGAGCGUGGUCAGGGAGCGCCGCUGUCGGACGAGCAUCUUCAUCAAAUGUGCUGAGAACCCUCUGCACCUCUCCACGUUGCCCAUGCCCAUUUCCUGGCAGAAGAAGGAAAAACAUGCUGAAGGGGCUGCUGACAAACAUCACCCACAGAUGUGCCUCUAGAAAGCUGUUUCUACUAUAAGCGUCAGACAUGCCACACUCUAGAGGUGACAUAUUCAUUUUUUUGAGCAGUGUUUCUCCAAUUAUGCUUGCACAGAUCAUUGAGAUUCCAUAGACAGGAACUGGAUUUAACUCCAAAAUGCAUUUAUUAGUGGUCUUUUCUCAAUUCACAAAGGGAAGAAAGAUCUAAAGAUGGCAUUCUCAAUUUGAAGUUUUUAAUUUUUCUUAAACAUUAAGAAAAUCUGUCCUGCUGG
rnacentral:lncRNA from 1 species